rnacentral:rRNA from 1 species
GACGAUCGCUGGCGGCGUCCUUAACACAUGCAAGUCGAACGGAAAGACCCUGCUUUUGUGGGGUGCUCGAGUGGCGAACGGGUGAGUAACACGUGAGUAACCUGCCCUUGACUUUGGGAUAACUUCAGGAAACUGGGGCUAAUACCGGAUAGGAGCUCCUGCUGCAUGGUGGGGGUUGGAAAGUUUCGGCGGUUGGGGAUGGACUCGCGGCUUAUCAGCUUGUUGGUGGGGUAGUGGCUUACCAAGGCUUUGACGGGUAGCCGGCCUGAGAGGGUGACCGGCCACAUUGGGACUGAGAUACGGCCCAGACUCCUACGGGAGGCAGCAGUGGGGAAUAUUGCACAAUGGGCGGAAGCCUGAUGCAGCAACGCCGCGUGCGGGAUGACGGCCUUCGGUUUGUAAACCGCUUUCGCCUGUGACGAAGCGUGAGUGACGGUAAUGGGUAAAGAAGCACCGGCUAACUACGUG